rnacentral:rRNA from 1 species
CCCUAGUUUAAUUCUGGCUGGAGGAGAGGUUGUAAGUAUGGUAUCACAUAAGUUCAUUAUAUGUUUUAAGUGUCAAGAGUGCUUUGAUGUAUAUUAGUGGUUGGUUCUCGGGAUUCAAUGAUGUUGGAACGGGAUACUUACAAAAUAAAGUGGAUAAGUCACAGUGCCAGCAUCCGCGGUUAUUCUGUUUGCUUGUUUCUCUUUUUGGGGUGAAAGGUUUAUUAACUUUAUUCUUUUAAGUUACAGUAAUAAGUUAGUUAAUUUAGAGAAGUUGGUUAAUUUAAUAGUAGAUUAUUGGAUGGGAUGGGGAUUAGAGACCCCCGUACCAAUAGGUUAAGUUUGUUCCAUGGUUAAAACUAAAAGGAUUUGGCAGCCGGCGAGAUUCGUUUGGGGGAGCGUGUUUUUUUAAAAGAUAGUCCGCUUAUGAUUUUACUAUAGCUAGUUAAGUUAGUGUACGUCCGAUUUAAGAUUUGUGACUAGUGUCGAGAAUAAGUGUAAUUCUGAGAAUUUAAGUCAGGUCCAUGUGCUACUAAUGUUAUAUGGUAAUUAUGCGCUACAUUAAAGAAAACUUGUUAUUGAAGGAGUAGUGGGUUAUUUAGGACUCAAUAGUAGGGGGAUGUAUAGUUAGGUCUUUCGAAGUUGAUUUAGCUGGGGUACACAUCGCCCGUCAAUUCCAGCAUUAGCUGGGGUAAGUCGUAACAUGGUAAUGGUUGGGGAACCAGUCGUUAGUUGGCU